UCACCUUAUCAAAAGAAGAAGAAGAAGCGGAACUCGUAGCACAACAACAACAUUGUUAGCAGCAUUAGCUCGCAAAAAAGCGAGGAGACUUUUUUCUUCUUAUUUGGGUCCCAUUAACAGGUACGCUGGAAUUUUCGGACACCCACUCGAACAUGUCCUAUGUCUUCAUCAACGACUCGUCGCAGACCAGCGUGCCUCUGCUGCAGUCGUGCAUCGAUGGAGACCUGCCCUUCGCCAAGAGGCUGCUAGAGACCGGAUGCGACCCCAACAUCCGUGACAACCGGGGCCGCACCGGCCUCCACCUAGCCGCCGCCAGAGGGAACGUGGAAAUAUGCCGCCUCUUGCACAAGUUUGGGGCCGAUCUGCUGGCGACGGAUUACCAGGGGAAUACGGCGCUGCACCUGUGCGGCCACGUGGAUACGAUACAGUUCCUGGUGUCCAACGGGCUGAAGAUCGACAUCUGCAACCACAACGGAUCGACUCCUCUGGUGCUGGCGAAGAGACGCGGAGUCAACAAGGAUGCUAUUCGUCUGCUGGAGGGGCUGGAGGAGCAGGAGGUGAAAGGCUUCAACAGAGGAGCCCACUCCAAACUGGAGACCAUGCAGAUGGCUGACAGUGAGAGCGCGAUGGAGAGCCACUCCUUACUGAACCCGAACCUGCAGAGCACCGAGGGCGUCCUGUCCAGCUUCAGGACCACCUGGCAGGAGUUUGUGGAGGACCUGGGCUUUUGGAGGGUCCUGCUGCUGCUGGUGGUCAUCGCCCUCCUCUCCCUGGGCAUCGCCUACUACGUCAGUGGGGUCCUGCCUUUCUCCACCAGCCAGCUGGAGCUGGUGCACUGAGUAAAGGCUGGGAAGAAGGGUGCGGAAGAGGCAGUAAAAUAAAUGAAUGAAGGUGAUUAACGAGAGAGGGCGGUGACUCAGAGACUUCAUGUGUGGCCUAACACCUCGACUCAUUGAUAGACUCAUUUCCUCUUCCUCACACUUGUCAUGUCAUCCCUGUUUGCUCUGUUACAAGCUGUAUAUUGCUGAUGUUUUGUAUCUUUUCAUUGUUUUCUCUCACUUGUUAUUUAUUCAAAUGUCUUUGGUGUGAAUUUUUCCCUCGCUGUCCUUAUUUCACACCUGCAGCCUUUCUGGCUGGAAACAGUUUUGUCAGGAUAACAGAGCCGACUGCAGAGAAACACCUGCUGAGUUUAGAUGAAGCUUCAGGUUUAACUGGGAUUAUGGCAGCAGAUUAAUGCUUCUUACUUUGUUGUAUAUUCAUUUUAUCUUAAUGUGCUUUUGCUCAAAGGUUUUCAGUGUUUAUUCCAUCAAACAUUUGAAGUCAU